rnacentral:rRNA from 1 species
CCUACGGGAGGCAGCAGUGAGGAAUAUUGGUCAAUGGUCGGGAGACUGAACCAGCCAAGCCGCGUGAGGGAUGAAGGUACAGAGUAUCGUAAACCUCUUUUGUCAGGGAACAAAGGCGGGGACGUGUCCCCGGAUGAGUGUACCUGAAGAAAAAGCAUCGGCUAACUCCGUGCCAGCAGCCGCGGUAAUACGGAGGAUGCGAGCGUUAUCCGGAUUUAUUGGGUUUAAAGGGUGCGUAGGCGGCCUUUUAAGUCAGCGGUGAAAGUCUGUGGCUCAACCAUAGAAUUGCCGUUGAAACUGGGGGG